rnacentral:rRNA from 1 species
GCUAAAAACCGACGCCUAAUAUGCCUCUACCAACCAAAAACUAAAACAUUUACCAAUACAAAGUACCGUGAGACAGAAACGUGCCACUAAGCGCAAUAGUUAAGAGUACCGCAAGGGAAAAGUGAAAUAUUAAAUUCAUUUAAGCCCCAAAAAGCAGAGAUUACCACUCGUACCUAUUGUAUCAUGGUUUAGCUAGUAAACCCAGGUCUUACGCCAUAUAAUCUGCCCACCUGAAACUGAACGAGCUACCCAAAAGCUGCCCACACCGGGCAACCCCGUCCCUGUGGCAAAAGGGUGAGGAGACUUCUGGGUAGAAGUGAAACGCCAACCGAGUUCAGUGAUAGCCGGUUGCCCAAAAAGAAUUUAAGUUCAACUUUUAUUUUACUACCACAACCCCAUAUAACAAUGUACCGAUAAAAGACAUGCACUAGAGGUACAGCCCUAAUGCAAAGAAUACAGCCUUAAAUAGAGAUUUACUAAUUACCGUUUUCACCCAGUAGGCCUUUAAACAGCCAACAAUAACAACCACGUUAAAGAGUUUAUUAAAUAAAAUGUCAACCUACAACCAACACAUCCUAACACAACAUGGGCUAACUCUGACCAAAACAGAGGAGACACUGCUAAAACUAGUAAUAAGAAACUAAUUCUCCAUGCGCACGCCUACAUCAGAACAGAUAUACUACUGAAAAUUACCCACUCAAAAACCCCCCCCCACACAAACUGUUACUCCAACACAGGGUCGCCCUGCAAGAAAAACAAAAAGCUGUAAAAGGAAUUCAGCUAAUCGGACCCCACCUGUUUACCAAAAACAUCGCCUUAAGCCUAACAAGUAUUUAAGGUCUAGCCUGCCCAGUGAGCCCAUAUUUAACGGCCGCGGUAUCCUAACCGUGCGAAGGUAGCGUAAUCACUUGUCCCCUAACUAGGGACCCGUAUGAACGGCCUAAUGAGGGUCCAACUGUCUCCUACAGCCAGUUAAUGAACCUGAUCUUUCAGUCAAAAAGCUGAAAUAUAAACAUAAGACGAAAAGACCCCGUGGAGCUUUAAGCAACCCACUAUAAAUAACUUUAGCCACUACGACUACCAAAAUAUUUUUUAGUCGACUAGCUUUAAGUUGGGGCAACUAUGGAGAAAAAUGAAACCUCCAUGAACCGGGCUAAAACCCCACCACAGGCUGACAAGCCAAACAAAACUCAGACCCAGUCACACUGACCAUCGAACCAAGUUACCCCGGGGAUAACAGCGCUAUUCCCCUAAAGAGUCCUUAUCACAAGGGGAGCUUACGACCUCGAUGUUGGAUCAGGACAACCAGGCGGUGAAGCCGCUGCCAUCGGUUCGUUUGUUCAACGAUUAAUGUCCUACGUGAUCUGAGUUCAGACCGGAGUAAUCCAGGUCAGUUUCUAUCUAUGCACCAGCCCCUUCAGUACGAAAGGACCAAGGAGCUAGGCUUGUGCCAAUGCCACCAGGCACGCACACAUAGUAAAACUGAAGCACCAACUAAAGGGCCCAGUAGGACAAACCCCAAUAUGAGGGU